rnacentral:rRNA from 1 species
GACGAACGCUGGCGGCGUGCUUAACACAUGCAAGUCGAACGGAAAGGCCCUGCUUUUGUGGGGUGCUCGAGUGGCGAACGGGUGAGUAACACGUGAGUAACCUGCCCUUGACUUUGGGAUAACUUCAGGAAACUGGGGCUAAUACCGGAUAGGAGCUCCUGCUGCAUGGUGGGGGUUGGAAAGUUUCGGCGGUUGGGGAUGGACUCGCGGCUUAUCAGCUUGUUGGUUGGGUAGUGGCUUACCAAGGCUUUGACGGGUAGCCGGCCUGAGAGGGUGACCGGCCACAUUGGGACUGAGAUACGGCCCAGACUCCUACGGGAGGCAGCAGUGGGGAAUAUUGCACAAUGGGCGGAAGCGUGAUGCAGCAACGCCGCGUGCGGGAUGACGGCCUUCGGGUUGUAAACCGCUUUCGCCUGUGACGAAGCGUGAGUGACGGUAAUGGGUAAAGAAGCACCGGCUAACUACGUG